UUCAGGACCCUUUUGCAGUUGUCGACAAAAAGGCUGUUCAAGGAUUCCUUGACUUUCUGCAAAACACAUGGAGACUGUACAAGUACAAAUCUCAUGGAAACGUGCAGAAGUUGUUGAGACGGCAUCUGUUGAGGCUUAUCUGCUCCUUGUGUUGGCUAAAAUGACUGAUGUUUUCUCAGGACGUGCUCCCUCUCCAUCCACGAUAUCUCCAUUUUUCAUCUUAACCGAUUGCUGAUGAUUUAAUAUCAUUUUUAUCAUUGGCAUUAUUUGGAGGGGCUUUAGAGAAAAGCGCCCAACUAAUAUAUUUACAGCCAGAAACUGAAGGAUGACCAAUAUCCAUCAUCGGUACUUUAAAGUUUUGUCAUUUUUCAUGAUCCAUGAUGUGAUUGGAAAGCCUCCUGAAAGGAUUACCAGACAAAGACACCAG